rnacentral:lncRNA from 1 species
AGAGCCGGGGCUGUGUUUCCGCCGGCCUGCCUGUCUUCUUCUCCUUACUCUUUUUUCCUUUCCCCCUCCCUCCCUCCCUUCCUUCCACCAAGUUGAAGUGCCCCUUUCAUUUGCUUAUAAAAUAUUCAUCUGUGAUCACAGGUCAGGGCCUGACCAGUGUCCCCACAAUCAUUGCCAAUAUGAAUGCAGUGUUAUGUUUUUUUAAAGACUCGGCCAAGUCGCCAGGUGGAGGGCACCUGCUUGCUGGGACUGAGGUGGGUGAGAGGUAGGAGGUCAUACCUCCUAUCUCGUCAUAUUCGGCGAGCUGUUGGGGAUCACAGUUCCAGGAGUUCACUCACAGGCCGCCGAGCUCAUUCUGUGCAUGGCUAGCCUCUCCCCUUCUCCGUUUCUGAUCCUGGGCCUUCUGUGUGUGCUGCUCUCAGCCUCUUGGUCAUCUUUAAGGUCGUGAUCACACCGAGCUACCGUCUCACGGCAUCCCUGGGGGCUUCAGAGAGGUCUGGAGGUUUGGGUCCCUGUAUUUAGAGGCCCUGACAGCAGCCCCCUUUCUCUGUCCAGGGAAGUCAUUGUCAAUCUUAUCAGGAACCGUGUCCUGUAGAGGGGCAGGUGGGCCUGUGGACUUCCUGAGCUGCUCCCUCUGAGCCGUGCGCAAGUGGCAGGGCUUUGGCUAAAUAGGAAUUUUCCUUUCUAGUUUCCUGUUUUUCCCGUGGACUUUGGCUGAUAGGAGCUGCUGGGUGCGUGAGCUGGUUAAAGAAGUUUUCCUAGGAUUGAAAUGCAGGCCAAACUCCUCGGGUUGGUGGGUUCUGUUGGUGCACCCCCUGGGAAACCAUUCCUCUUUCGACAUAUGGAGGGAAUCUUCCCAGGUCAGUCUAACUCCCGGAGUGGCUGAGGUCGGCCCAGAGUCCUGUGAAGUGCUGGGGGAUGAGAACUUUAGGUUUUAUGAGCUGAGAGUUCGUAUGAAGGAUUUCAGGUUGGUGUGAACAGAACAACAGUGAAAACAGAUUUCCACAGUUUUCACUGAUGAAAUUCAAAGUACAAUGAUAAUAGUAAUUGGGUAUAAUUUGGGGAACACAGAUCUAAUAAGAAGAAUGGAAUCAUUUUUGGGGAAAAAUAACAGUUCGCAUGACUUGGUCUUCUGCCGGCUCAAGUGGUUUGGGGAGUUUUUCUAUAAAGCCACUCUUGGCUCAUGGCCUGUGUGAAGAAGGUAGCCAGCAGGUGCCAGGGUGGUGGGCUCAGCUGCCCAGGUCACAGUCAAUGCCUGUGCGCCAGCUCUAUUUACCAUUGGCCUGUCUGCUCCACAGGAGGGCAGGAAAAGAUUCACCCCCCGCCCCCCGGAAAAAUGUUUCUUCUUCCAGAUGGAGGAGGGGAAAUGGACCAGUGAGUUGAUGGAGCCACUUGAUGAAGGAAUCUCUGGAAUAGAGGAAGUGGUUGGAAGAGUAGUGACCAGACAGGCAUCAGGUGUGUGUCCAAGGUCCAGCUAAAGACUGUCCUCCUUCCUUUCAUAAGGAAGCUUUGAAAUGACCCUGAUUUCCCUCAUCGUCUUCCCCUGGGGUUGUGCAACCUGACUGAUGGUGAGGAACGUCUGAUGGUACCAGUGGUUACAGGGAAGACUGAGAGGAAGGGAGGCCAAGGGGACAGGGAUCGAGAGGACAAAGAAGGAAUCCACCAAUUAUGGGAUGUCCCUGUACAGAUACGGCACAAUGAGUCCUGUGCUAACUGAAAUAAUAAGAGGAGGGAGAUCCGUAGGGAAAGUGGAUCUGGGGGCAGGGAAGUGGGAAGGUACAGGGAAUGAGCUGGAUUAACUAUGUUAUGUGCAUCUAUGAUUAUGGCAUAAUGAAUCCAUACUGUAUAGGUAUGAUGCACCAAUAAAAAAUAAUUAAAAUGAAUGUCCAUGAUGGAAAGAAAGGAGGUUCCUCAUGUUUGGCAGAAAGACUCCUGUGAUUUUCAAUAUUUAAUUUGCUCUUAAAUUUUUUAUCUCCCAAACGUUAGAUAUGGUCAUCUGCGGUUUUUGAUGAAGCUGGUAUAUUGACGGGUCUUAGCCAAGUCCCUCUAUGGAAACUCAACAUUUCAGUCUAUGGUCAGGUAGGGUGUAAGAACGAAGCAGUUGUCUUGAGUUUAAGUUUCUGUUUUAAUCAUAAAAAUUAAAAUUGUGCACGACACACAGGUGGGGCACAUUGUCCAGCGCCUGGCUGUCGGAGAGAAGUUGCUCCUCCAUGUCUGUUUGCUCCCCUCCUUCUGGUGCUGGAGUAAGCUGGGCUUGACCUCAGCACAGAGCCACAUCUGGGCUCCGCUUCUCCCAGCCUCCCCUGGGGACCUGUGCACCUUGUCAUGGAAUCCUGCACGGUGGCCUGGAAGCCGCCCCCAUUUCUAUCAUCCUGCUGUGCAGGAAGGAAAGGGGAGCAGACCCAGCCUCCUGGACCCAGAAAUAAAUGCUCUCUGUUGAGUGUGGUGGCACACACCCCGUCAUCUCCAAACUGCUCCAGGAGCAAGGAGGAAACCGCUGUCCCCAGGGAGGCCUGGACCUUUUCCUGUGACAACUUAACUGUGCUUGCAAAGAGACUGUGUUCUCUUUAUACAUGAAAGUGAGAAGCGUGUCUCCUCCUCUUCCUUCUCCUGCUCCCCCUUUCUGUCCACGAUAGUAAUUUGUAAUUUGCUCUAUUUCCUGCCGGCUUAUGAUUCCAUAAUAUAAUGAGCUUUUUUUUUUUCUG